rfam:Prunus persica cultivar Lovell chromosome G8, whole genome shotgun sequence.
GAGGAGGCUGUGAUGUUGAUAAACUACCUAUUUUCUGAGGGAAGAUAUUCCCUUGUGAUUACAAAAUUUACCAAUGGAUCCUUCUGAGCCUUCA